rnacentral:rRNA from 1 species
AGUGAACGCUGGCGGUAGGCCUAACACAUGCAAGUCGAACGGCAGCACAGUAAGAGCUUGCUCUUACGGGUGGCGAGUGGCGGACGGGUGAGGAAUACAUCGGAAUCUACUUUUUCGUGGGGGAUAACGUAGGUAAACUUACGCUAAUACCGCAUACGACCUACGGGUGAAAGCAUGGGAUCUUCGGACCUUGCGCGAUUGAAUGAGCCGAUGUCGGAUUAGCUAGUUGGCGGGGUAAAGGCCCACCAAGGCGACGAUCCGUAGCUGGUCUGAGAGAAUGAUCAGCAACACUGGAACUGAGACACGGUCCAGACUCCUACGGGAGGCAGCAGUGGGGAAUAUUGGACAAUGGGCGCAAGCCUGAUCCAGCCAUACCGCGUGGGUGAAGAAGGCCUUCGGGUUGUAAAGCCCUUUUGUUGGGAAAGAAAAGCAGCAGGUUAAUACCCCGCUGUUCUGACGGUACCCAAAGAAUAAGCACCGGCUAACUUCGUG